GACCGGGAGCGGCGGCGCGCUCCUGUAAACCGGCGACUCGGUGGUCGGAUUGCGUAGAUCGGUCGUGGAGGGGAGAACGUUCGGCUGUGUUCAAACAUUCGAUUGCACGAUAAGGGAGGUACCUUCGGCUCUGUGCAAUCCAUCGGUCGUGAACACUGGUGUGUUUAAUUGCACAUAUCACUGGUUUACCAGUAUAUUGCGCAUGUGCUGGUAAGCCAGUGGUGUGUGUGGUUAUGAACACAUUAAUGUUAGCCACCACCUACUUAAGCAAUCACGUAGAACAUGUAUCACGUGAGCAUGUUGGUACCAAGUUCCCAUCGUUGGCAUCGCUGUUCGGGAUCCCCAGACGUCACCCAUACCGAGAUCGCAAUCUGAAAUUUUUUGCGUUUUUUUUCUCUCAAAA